rnacentral:rRNA from 2 species
GGCAGUCAGAGGCGAUGAAGGGCGUACUAAUCUGCGAUAAGCGCCGGUAAGGUGAUAUGAACCGUUAUAACCGGCGAUACCCGAAUGGGGAAACCCAGUGUGAUUCGUCACACUAUCAUUAACUGAAUCCAUAGGUUAAUGAGGCGAACCGGGGGAACUGAAACAUCUAAGUACCCCGAGGAAAAGAAAUCAACCGAGAUUCCCCCAGUAGCGGCGAGCGAACGGGGAGGAGCCCAGAGCCUGAAUCAGCAUGUGUGUUAGUGGAAGCGUCUGGAAAGGCGCGCGAUACAGGGUGACAGCCCCGUACACAAAAGCGCAUGUGCUGUGAGCUCGAUGAGUAGGGCGGGACACGUGGUAUCCUGUCUGAAUAUGGGGGGACCAUCCUCCAAGGCUAAAUACUCCUGACUGACCGAUAGUGAACCAGUACCGUGAGGGAAAGGCGAAAAGAACCCCGGCGAGGGGAGUGAAAAAGAACCUGAAACCGUGU